GGAUAUAUAGUCAUUGGUAAGACAAGCUACUUGCUAAGUAGUGGGUGAAAGCCGUAUGAGUUCGAUUCUCAUUGUAUCCG
rnacentral:tRNA from 1 species